CACAUGUAAAGAAAUUGUGGCGAGGGGGCAGCACAAACUGCGCUGUGGUUCAAUUGCUUCGUAUGACUGCUGCAACAACUAGCCUACGGAUUUCGAGCCAGUUCUGCCACGUGCUUCUCUGACCUUCCUGUCGUCUGCAAUGGCAAACUGAAAGGUCCCGGACCCAGACGCAGCCUGUCCCGCCUUUGGGAAAUCGCAUCACCUCUGUCGGCUAAAUGACGUGGAAGUCUGGGCAGACGACUGAAUAAAACC